ACUAAAAUGUAAUUAGUUUUAGUCACAUUUAACAGCCAUAUUAAACUCCUUUUCUUCCCUCCUCAGGCCCAGGGACCCCCUGUGUUGUGUCUACAGCUGCAUAAUAGUCUAGCUUGCAGUACUUGGUUGUCCAUGAGAUGUCCCUCCUAGGGCAGAUCUAUACAUGUCCCUCCUAGGACAGGUCCAUCAAAUGUCCCUCCUAGGACAGGUCUAUAGAUGUCCCUCCUAGGACAGGCCUAUAGAUGUCCCUCCUAGGACAGGCCUAUAGAUGUCCCUCCUAGGACAGGUCUAUAGAUGUCCCUCCUAGGACAGGCCUAUAGAUGUCCCUCCUAGGACAGGCCUAUAGAUGUCCCUCCUAGGACAGGCCUAUAGAUGUCCCUCCUAGGACAGGUCGAUAGAUGUCCCUCCUAGGACAGGCCUAUAGCAGGUCGGCAAACGUUUUGACUCGGUUGUAAAAUGUGACGGAGGAGCCGGGCCAAGA
ensembl:lncRNA